AUGGACCAGUAUGGACCAGUACGGACCAGUAUGGACCAGUUUGGAGCAAUAAAGACCGGUAAGGACCAGUAUGGACCAGUAUGGACCAGUACGCAUCAGAAUAGACCAGUAAGGACCAGUAUGGACUCCCAGUGCUCCCAGAUCCCCCUCCCAGUCCCUCCCAGUUCAUCCCAGUCCCCCAUAUCCCCCUCCCAGUCCCUCCCAGUCCCCUCCCAGUCCCUCCCACUCCCCCAUCACCCCUCCCAGUUCCCUCCCAGUCCCUCCCAGUCCAAACCAGUAAGGCCGUGGGCAGGCGACGCGGCGCGCGGAGCUGCGGCAGACCAGCAGGCAGUUGCAGGGGCAGCGGACGUAUUGCUUCCCAUUGGGGGCCGGGCGAAUGGGCUGCAAGAAAAUCCCCAGGAUGCCUUAAUUGGUUCGUUAGCGCCAUUCAUUAGGGCUUUAUUAGCCUUAAUUAAGGCGUUUUCCCCCUUUAAGUGCCUGUUUCGAUGAUUAACGCACUCGUUUCUGCCAUUAAUGAGCCCAAUUCUGCCCCCAACCCACUCAAUUCCACCCUCAUUAACUCAAUUCUAGCCUUAAUUAAGACACCUCCAGCCUUAAUGAGUUACUUUGACUCUUAAUUAGCUCUUUAUCAGCAUUAAUUAAGUCAUUUUCCCCCUUUAGGAGCUCGUUUCGACAAUUAACGCGCUCGUUUCUGCCAUUCAUGAGCCCAAUUCCGACUCAAUUCCAGCCUCGUUAACUCAUUACCAUCCUUAAUUAAGACACCUCCAGCCUUAAUGAGUCAUUUUGCCCCUUAAUUAGCUCUUUAUUAGCCUUAAUUAAGGCAUUUUUCCCCCUUUAGGAGCUCGUUUCGACGAUUAACGCACUCGUUUCUGCCAUUAAUGAGCCCAAUUCUGCCCCCAACCCACUCAAUUCCGCCCUCAUUAACUCAUCACCAUCCUUAAUUAAGACACCUCCAGCCUUAAUGAGUCAUUUUGCCCCUUAAUUAACUCAUUAUUGCCCUUAAUUAAGGCGUUUUUAACCCUUUAGGAGCUCAUUUUGACAACUAACGAGCUCUUUUCUAUCAUUAAUGAGCCCAAUUCUGCCCCCAACCCACUCAAUUCUGCCCUCAUUAACUCAUUACCACCCUUAAUUAAGACACCUCCAGCCUUAAUGAGUCAUUUUGCCCCUUAAUUAGCUCUUUAUUAGCCUUAAUUAAGUCAUUUUCUCCCUUUAGGAGCUCGUUUCGACAAUUAACGCGCUCGUUUCUGGCAUUAAUGAGCCUAAUUCUGCCCCCAACCCACUCAAUUCCACCCUCAUUAACUCAAUUGUAGCCUUAAUUAAGACACCUCAAACGUUAAUGAGUUACUUUGACUCUUAAUUAGCUCUUUAUUAUCCUUAAUUAAGGCGUUUUUAGCCCUUUAGGAGCUCGUUUCGACAAUUAACGCGCUCGUUUCUGCCAUUCAUGAGCCCCAUUCUGCCAUCAACCCACUCAAUUCUGCCCUCAUUAACUCAUUUCCAGCCUUAAUUAACACAUCUCCAUCCUUAAUGAGUCAUUUUGCCCCUUAAUUAGCCCUUUAUUAGCCUUAAUUAAGGCGUUUUUCCCCCUUUAAGUGCCUGUUUCGACAAUUAACGCACUCGUUUCUGGCAUUAAUGAGCCCAAUUCCCACUCAAUUCCACCCUCAUUAACUCAAUUCUAGCCUUAAUUAAGACACCUCCAGCCUUAAUGAGUCAUUUUGCCCCUUAAUUAGCCCUUUAUUAGCCUUAAUUAAGGCAUUUUUCUCCCUUUAGGAGCUCGUUUCGACAAUUAACGCGCUCGUUUCUGGCAUUAAUGAGCCCAAUUCCCACUCAAUUCCACCCUCGUUAUCUCAUUUCCAGCCUUAAUUAAGACACUUCUGCCUUUAAUGAACUCAUUUUGGGCCUUAAUUAGCUUUUUAUUGCUGUUAAUUAACUCACUUUCCCCCUUUAGGAGCUCAUUCCUGCGUCUAACGAGCUCAUUUCUGCCAUUAAUUAACUCAUUUCUGUCACUAAUCUGCUCAACCUAUCCGUAAUAAACUCAUAAUGGCCCAAAAUUAACUCA
ensembl:lncRNA